rnacentral:lncRNA from 1 species
AUAUACUUUAAUAAGUGUGAAUAUUUUAUUUCAAGACUGACACUCCAAAUGCCAAUACUAACAAUCGACGAUUAUCAACACCUCUAAAUAAUGUNAAUCACAGUCGAGGUGUCUUGGGUACAAAUCGACAACCAUUAGACCUUGGUGGUAUAACUGGUGUUAGUAUGUCGAUAUCAGCUGGUCCGCCAGGUAGUGACCUACCAGCUUCACAUAGUGGUCACCAUGGUGAUACACGGGGAAUUUCGCCAAACAGUGAUGAUGCUGAUGAAGUUGAUAGCUAUUUUGGUCAUGGACAACCAGCACAUUCUCAAAGACGAGGAAGACUGGCGACAAUUAGAUAGCAAAAACCCACUAAUUUAAUAUUUAUAUUAGAUUCUAACAAAUUUUACUUUCUAUUUGCACAAAAAGUCUUGUGAUCAAAGUUGAAAUAGUGCAAGGUGGUUAUAUAACCAGCUCUUUGUUCUACUUGAGCUUUGUAGAAUUAUCCUUUUUUAUUAAUAUUCAUAAUUAUUCUCCAUUGCAGUAGUUGUCAGUCUUACACUAGUGUUGGGUGACACUGAUAACAGCUGCAAGGGAGACUACUCGGAAAUCCAGGAAUUUUUAAGUGACGGCUUUGGAUGCUUGGGAAAACGGAAGUGGUGUUAGUCACCAAUUUCCAGCUACACCAGCAUUCCUCUGUCCUUACACAAUAUCCACUGGGAUUCAAGUAUUCUUUAAUGUUAGAAUCCAUCAAAUUCAAUUUUUCCCCAGAAAUUGUAACACAAGAUGAAAUAGCAUCAGCUAAAGAGAAGGAUAAUGAACACUGUUCCCGUACAGUAGUUGUAAAUAGAGGCUAUUUUGAGCCAAGACUGAAUAUACAUAUUUCAAUGACAUUCAUUGUCAAAAAUUGUUGAACUGAGCGCAUAAGGAAUGAUAAUUGCAGGUUCAAAAUUUGUAUUGCUUAAAAUGACUAUCAAUGCAAAUCGAAAUCAGUAUAGACAGUAUAUAUUGCCAUAUUAUGGCAAUCUCAAAUCAGUGAGUAACUAACUCUUAAUAACCAAACCCAAGACUCGUUGAAUGUCAUUUCUCUUCUUUUCAUAGCUUCUGUUGCAGAUGACCUGCAAAAAUGACCUGCGAUAUUCAGGGCAGGGUCACUGGAAGCUAAUAUUUUUCACCCUUUUGACAUCAAACCACAAAGACUCAGGGGGGGGUUCACCAAUUGGUCCUAUGGAACCAGCCUAUCUGUUUACCCAGAGAAAUAAACCUUGAGGAUCCUUGACCAUCAAACCAGCCUUGCGCUUGCACUGAAUGUACCUGGUUUGUUAAUAGGGACCUCCUAGAUUGGUUUAAACAGAUAUUCAUUUGGUAGUUUUCAUAAUCCGUGGCAGUGAUCAUAUUAUAUAUCAAAAUCAAGAACUGAGAGAGUUAUGGGAGAAGGUAUAUGUGAUGUUUAUUAGGUCGCAUUAUACCCUUCAAAAACUUUAACUACCCUCCAAAAUUAAGUGAACAAUUAUUAAUUUCAUUCUAUUAUUUUCUAUAUACUGUCUUUGUAUCGUAUAUAUUGUUAAUGUAUUAUUUAUUAUUGUCAAAUUAAUACACAUUGUUCACGGGUUUAUGGAGACUACUAUAUGAAUAUAAGUUUGAUGUAAUCUUGGGUAUAUUUCUAGUUAAAUAACUGAUAUGUUAUUGUAAUAUAUAGGUUCGAUUUAAAGGGAUUUACACAAAUAAAUACUUUAGGCUA